CACGUAGGAGGCGAGCGUUGUCCGGAAUCAUUGGGCGUAAAGAGCGCGCAGGCGGCUUGGCAAGUCGGGUGUGAAAUCCCCGGGGCUCAACCUCGGGUCUGCAGUCGAUACGAGCAAACUAGAGUGUUGCAGGGGGAGACUGGAAUUCCUGGUGUAGCGGUGAAAUGCGCAGACUAGUCAGGAGGGAACACCGGUGGCGAAGGCGGGUCUCUGGGCAACAACGUGACGC
rnacentral:rRNA from 1 species